AAAAUCAAAACGGGAAUUUAUUCGGACCCCAAACCCAAAUCGAGAUAAAAAAGGGAUUUCUUCGGACCCCAAAUCAAACCAAAAUCAAAAAGGGAUUUCUUCGGAUCCGAAUGAAGUUGCAAAAUAGGACUGCCUCGAACCCGAAAUAGAAUUAAAAAAAAAAUCAAGUUCACAAAUAAACCCAAACUCGAACCCAAAUAAAUCCAAACCCAAACCAAACCUAGUCUACAAAUAAACCCACAAAUAAACCCAAACUCGAACCCAAAUAAACCCAAACCCAAGCCAAACCAAAUCAAGUCCACAAAUAAACCCAAACUUGAACCCAAAUAAACCCAAACCCAAUCAAAUCCAAACCUAAAACCAAAUACAGUCCACAAAUAAACCUAAACCCAAAACACAAACAAACCCAAACCCAAAACCCAAAUUAAAUCCGAACCCAAACCCAAAUCAAGUCCAAAUCCAAACCUAACCAAACCAAGUCCAAAUAAACAUCCAAACCAAAACCCAAAUCGGACCCAAACCCAAACCAAAUACAGUGCACAAAUAAAACCAAAUCAAAUCAAACCCAAACCUAACCCAAACCAAGUCCACAAAUAAACCCACAAAUAAACCCAAACCCAAAACCCAAAUAAACCUAAACCCAAAACACAAAUAAACCCAAACUUGAACCCAAAUAAACCCAAACCCAAAUCCAACUCCAAUUCGGACCACGAAUACAACCGAAAUCCAACUUCCAACUUGGGCUCAUGAACCAAAACCAUACCUAAGUUUAUAAACCAAAUCCCAAACCCGAGUUCAAAAAUUAAAUCUCAUGGACCAAAUCCCAUGAACCAAAACCAAACCUCAUGGACCAAAUCCCAUGAGCCAAAACCAAACCUCAUGGACCAAAUCCCAUGAGCCAAAACCAAACCUCAUGGACCAAAUCCCAUGAACCAUAAUCAAACCUCAUGGACCAAAUCCCAUGAGCCAAAACCAAAUCUCAUGGACCAAAUCCCAUGAACCAAAACCAAACCUCAUGGACCAAAUCCCAUGAACCAAAACCAAACCUCAUGGACCAAAUCCCAUGAACCAAAACCAAAUCUCAUGGACCAAAUCCCAUGAACCAAAACCAAAUCUCAUGGACCAAAUCCCAUGAACCAAAACCAAAUCUCAUGGACCAAAUCCCAUGAACCAAAACCAAAUCUCAUGGACCAAAUCCCAUGAACCAACCAAAUCUCAUGGACCAAUCCCAUGAACCAUAAUCAAACUUCAUGGACCAAAUCCCAUGAACCACAACUAAACCUCAUGGACCAAACCCCAUAAACCAUACACCAAAUCUCAUGGACCAAAUCCCAUGAACCACAACUAAACCUCAUGGACCAAAUCCCAUAAACCAUACACCAAAUCUCAUGGACCAAAUCCCAUGAACCAUACAUCCAACCUAAUACCCAUAUCCCAUGAACUAAUACCCAAAUCUCAUAAACCAAUACCCAAAUCCCAUGAACCAAUACCUAGAUCUCAUACCCAUAUCUCAUGAACCAAUUAGACUCUAAUACAUAAAGUUUAAUAUCGAUUAGGUCUUAACACAUAUACUUAGGGCCUAAUCAACCUCAAAUCCAACU
rnacentral:lncRNA from 1 species